UUCUACAAAUAACUCACGCACACCCCCUCCCUUCUCUUCCCCAUUCUCGGCCUCCCCUCUCUCUCUCUAUACUCUCUUUUCCUCCAUUGAUGUCCAUUGAAGAAAGCUUAGAGAAGCUUCAUCAAACACUACUAUGAGAUAAUCCACCAUCCAAUCCAAUCAAACACUAUCAUAUCUCAUCAAAUUCAAGAAGCUAGAACUAAGAUCAAAGUUGGAGCAAAGUCUUGAUCACCUUUUAAAUCCUUGAACACGAGAAGAGCAAGGAAGUAAGUAACUCCACUUUGACGGGAGAUUUUGAGUAAGGUCUUCAGGAUAAGCGGAGGGGGAGUAUGGUGCGGUGCUGGUGGAGAAUGUUUCGGGUUGACGUUUUCUUUCUCUAUCGUAUGUCUGUUUUGUCGAUAGAGUUUUGAUAUGAAGUUAUGUUAAAUAGAGUUUGAUGUUUAAGAUACUUAAUUUCCUUUGAAAAUCAAGCAAUACACUCACGGUUAUAUGUCUUCAUACAUAUAAUCGAUUCGCCUUUUGCUGCGAUACUCUGCAUAUUAUUCUUCAUUAUGAAAAAUGAGCUAUACCCGUUUUAUUU